rnacentral:rRNA from 1 species
CCUACGGGUGGCAGCAGUGAGGAAUAUUGGGCAAUGGGGGCAACCCUGACCCAGCCAUGCCGCGUGAGUGAAGAAGGUCUUCGGAUUGUAAAGCUCUUUCGGACGUGACGAUGAUGACGGUAGCGUCUAAAGAAGCACCUGCAAAAUUCGUGCCAGCAGCCGCGGUAAUACAAAGGGGGCGAGCGUUGUUCGGUAAUACUGGGCGUAAAGGUAGUGUAGGCGGAUAUGUAAGAUAGCGGCGAAAUGCCCGGGUUCAACCCCGGAACUGCCAUUAUGACUAUGUAUCUAGAGUAAUAGAGAGGAUAGCGGAAUACCAAGUGAAGAGGUGAAAUUCGUAGAUAUUGGGUAGAACACCGGUGGCGAAGGCGGCUAUCUGGCCAUAUACUGACGCUGAGGCUCGAAAGCAUGGGGAUCAAACAGGAUUAGAUACCCUGGUAGUC